UCGAUUCUUUUACCUUUUUUUUUUUAUAUAUAUUUGGUAUUUACUCAUAUCUCAACUCAUAUCAUAUCUCACUAACUAAAUGAGUCUUACUUUCCUACUUUCCUAUUACUAACUAAUUCAAUAAACCUUUUUUUUAAACAUAAAUUGUGACUCAUCCAACAAGUGCUUUUGCUGAAGAUCACUACUGGGAAACACUAGCAUAACUACUACAAGAUACAUAAGCAUCAACCUCAAAGAAUUAAUAGCCUUUUGGAACAUAAGAACAACAAGAAUUACGGUCAAUGCUCUCUUCGCUUACAAACAAAAAACAGUCAAUACUCUUAGAAAUUGUGUUCUAAAGCUUGAAAAUCAAGUCAUGGUAAAAUUGAAGUUAGAUAAAUUCUAUAAUAUCUUGCAGUUAGGACUUAGGAUGUANNNNNNNNNNNNNNNNNNAGCUAACUAUUGAGUAAAUGCAUGGCUCACUAACUCUAAUAAUAAUUCAUUUCUUCUUAAAAAAUAAUAAUAAUUCAUUUCAUCACAAUAUAGAGAUAAAUAGGCAUACUGUUGAGGUCACAACAAAAUUUAUGGAAUAUAAAUUCCUAAAUUGUUAUGGCAUGAUGCUGGAAGUGCACAUAGACAUAC
rnacentral:lncRNA from 1 species